ACAGAAUCACAUCUAUGUCAGUCAAAGUCCAUCCUGAGAGCGAACAAAAUACAACUGCUGGUGAGAAGAUAGAGUCUCAGAGAGUGAAGAGUUUCCCUGGACGACAAACCUCAGACACUAGCCAGCUUGUCCAUGAGAAGCCAUGCUGAAUGAGAUAAAGGCAUAUUUUGUGGGCAAAACAAAAGAGUUGACACUAAGUUUGUCCGAUGCUCUGGACCGCACUGCUAAGAAGAGAUGGGAUUUUGGGGUCCAGAGAUUCCGGUCUCCUUGCAAAAUGGCAUCCCGUGGAUGAAUCCAUUCUGCUGUGACCUCCUUCACUUCUGUGGCCUCUACGCCAACAGUGCAGCGCUCAAAACCCCCUGAUACCACUGAGGAUCCUUACAGUACUCAGUGGUGUGUGUGUAUGAAUGCCUAUGUCAGCUCCAGUGCUUUUGAAAACACUGGUGCAAAGUGAUAGCUCACCCAAAAAUAAAAUGCUGUCAUCAUUUACAAACCCUCAUGUUGUUCCAAACUUGUGUCUUCCUGUUUGAGAUGUAGAAUAUUAACCUCAAUCACGAUUCACUUUCAUUGCUUGGAAAAUAUAUGCAAUGAAAGUGAAUGGUGACUGAGGCUAAUAUUCUACCUACUAUUGUGUUCCAUGGAAGAAAGAAGGUUGUGACGUGGGUUUGGUAUAACAUGAGGGCUCUCGGCGUUGCUCAGAAGCCUGGCCCCCAUCAAACACUCAGACAGGAGGAUAACAUGUUUACUGGACAAGUUGAGUAGAUUUACAGAAGGCGACACACUGCGAGUUCACCCACACAGCUUUCUCAGGGUCCUAAACUCCCUCCAACCCUGGGAGCUUUGCUACCCAGACCUGUGUGUAGCUUUAGAGAUAGUGAGGCAGAAUGUGGUAAAGAUGCCUAAAGCAGAAUACAACACAUGGCUACACAGCAGAGUCAAACAAUCACAGUCCACCAAGAGUGCAACACACGACUUUUUUGCUAUCAUAACAAACUCACAAAUUGCAUAAAUGUUUUUCAUUAUGUUACAGUAUUUUUUUUCACUGUAAUACAACAAAAAAAUACUUUAUUAAAGUAAUGGUAAAAUGAAAGAAAAUCACCAUUUAGAAUAAAAAAAGAAAAUAAAAAAAGAAAAGAUUCUCUCUCUAUUUUGCUCUUUUAUUACAAACUCAAAAAUGCCAUGAAUGUUUUUGUGAAUCUCUGAUCAAUUUA